CUGCCAUUUAGGAGUUAAAUCCCUUUGUUUAUGAACCCUAGUCACACCUACCUGCAUGUGACUUGCACAGCCUUCCAUAAACACUUCCUGUAAAGAGAGCCCUAUUUAGGCUUUCUUUAUUGCAAGUUCUGUUUAAUUAAGAUUUUCUUAUCCCCUGCUAUGUUAAUAGCUUGCUAGACCCUGCAAGAGCCUCCUGAAUGUGAUUAAAGUUCAAUUUAGAGAUUGAGAUACAAUUAUUUAAGGUAAAUUACAUCUGUCUGAAAGUGAAACCAGUUUUUAUUUUUCAUGCAGGCUCUGUCAAUCAUAGCCAGG